CGGACGGGUGAGUAACGCGUAGGAAUCUACCUGGUAGUGGGGGACAACAUGGUGAAAACCAUGCUAAUACCGCAUACGCCCUAAGGGGGAAAGCGGGGGACCUUCGGGCCUCGCGCUAUCAGAUGAGCCUGCGUAGGAUUAGCUUGUUGGUGAGGUAAAGGCUCACCAAGGCGACGAUCCUUAGCUGGUCUGAGAGGAUGAUCAGCCACACUGGAACUGAGACACGGUCCAG
rnacentral:rRNA from 1 species